AGGGUUUGAUCAUGGCUCAGAACAAACGCUGGCGGCGUGCCUAAUACAUGCAAGUCGAACGGGGAAAGUAGCAAUACGAGUACUAGUGGCGCACGGGUGAGGAAUACAUAGGUAAUCUGCCCUCAAGUUUGGGAUAACUAGUCGAAAGAUUAGCUAAUACCGGAUAUGACCACGAGAUCUGAGGAUCUUGAGGUAAAAGUUUUUCGCUUGAGGAUGAGCCUAUGUGGGAUUAGCUAGUUGGUGAGGUAAUGGCUCACCAAGGCAACGAUCCCUAACUGGUCUUAGAGGAUGAUCAGUCACACUGGAACUGAGACACGGUCCAGACUCCUACGGGAGGCAGCAGUAGGGAAUAUUGCACAAUGGGGGAAACCCUGAUGCAGCGACGCCGCGUGAGUAAUGAAGGCCUUCGGGUCGUAAAGCUCUGUCGUAUGGGAAUAACAAAAUGAAUGUACCAUGCAAGAAAGGAUCGGCUAACUUCGUGCCAGCAGCCGCGGUAAGACGAGGGAUCCUAGCGUUGUUCGGAAUCAUUGGGCGUAAAGCGGGUGUAGGUGGGCUUUUAAGUCAGGUGUGAAAUCCCAGGGCUCAACCCUGGAAGUGCACUUGAUACUGGAAGUCUUGAGUGUGGUAGAGGCUAUUAGAAUUCUUGGUGUAGUGGUGAAAUACGUAGAUAUCAAGAGGAAUACCGGAGGCGAAGGCGGAUAGCUGGGCCAACACUGACACUGAGACCCGAAAGCGUGGGGAUCAAACAGGAUUAGAUACCCUGGUAGUCCACGCCGUAAACGAUGGACACUUGUUGUUAGUGGUAUUGACCCCACUAGUGACGUAGCUAACGCGUUAAGUGUCCCGCCUGGGGAGUACGGUCGCAAGAUUAAAACUCAAAGAAAUUGACGGGGGCCCGCACAAGCGGUG
rnacentral:rRNA from 1 species